rnacentral:rRNA from 1 species
AACGCGAAGAACCUUACCUACACUUGACAUCCUAGGACAACUCCAGAGAUGGAGCCUUCCUUCGGGACCUAGUGACAGGUGCUGCAUGGCUGUCGUCAGCUCGUGUCGUGAGAUGUUCGGUUAAGUCCGGCAACGAGCGCAACCCACAUCCUUAGUUGCCAGCGGUUCGGCUGGGAACUCUAAGGAAACUGCCCGUGAUAAGCGGGAGGAAGGUGUGGAUGACGUCAAGUCCUCAUGGCCCUUACGGGUUGGGCUACACACGUGCUACAAUGGCAGUGACAAUGGGUUAAUCCCCAAAAACUGUCUCAGUUCGGAUUGGGGUCUGCAACUCGACGGCAUGAAGUCGGAAUCGCUAGUAAUCGCGUAACAGCAUGACGCGGUGAAUACGUUCCCGGGUCUUGUACACACCG